UGCUACAGCCAUGCCACCCUGAACAAGCCCGAUGUCUGAUCUCAGAAGCUAAGCAGGGCCUGGUUAGUACUGGGAUGGGAGACCACCUAGGAAGACCAGGUGCUGUAGGCA
rnacentral:rRNA from 1 species